AGAGCGGCCGGUCCGCCGUUUGGUGUGCACUGGCUGGUUUCAGCUUCCUGCAGAGGACGCGCUCUGGGCUUAAUCGUCUGGACGUGGAGUCUGCGUGGUUACUUUGAAAAAAUUAGAGUGUUCAAAGCGGGCUUACGCUUGAAUAUUUCAGCAUGGAAUAACACUAUAGGACUCCUGUCCUAUUUCGUUGGUCUCGGGACGGGAGUAAUGAUUAAGAGGAACAGUUGGGGGCAUUCGUAUUUCAAUGUCAGAGGUGAAAUUCUUGGAUUUUUGAAAGACGAACUUCUGCGAAAGCAUUUGCCAAGGAUGUUUUCAUUAAUCAAGAACGAAAGUUGGGGGCUCGAAGAUGAUUAGAUACCAUCCUAGUCUCAACCAUAAACGAUGCCGACUAGGGAUUGGCGGAUGUUAAUUGAUGACUCCGCCAGCACCUUAUGAGAAAUCAAAGUUUUUGGGUUCCGGGGGGAGUAUGGUCGCAAGGCUGAAACUCAA
rnacentral:rRNA from 2 species